GGUCUGCAGGGCGGCUCCCGAGGACGUUCUGUCCCCCAGGGGACCCGCCCUGUCCAGGGGGCCGCCCAGGCCUUCGGCAGGGCCCACGCAGUGGGGGAGUCGGGGCCCCCACGCACCCCAGCUCCAGGGGAACCCUUCGUGCGGGAGCCCCCAGCUGUGCACGGAGCCCCAGGGCCUCGGGCAGGGAGCACAUCUGGCGGGGACGCGGGGCUGCGGCCUGCACAGGGUGGUCCAGCCCGACACCAAGGACCAGGGAGGGACCGGGCUACUCGGGCCGCUGAGCCUCCCCAUCUUCUGGCCCCUGCAUGCCUGGCGGGGGCUCCCGGAAGCCACGGGGGUGGGGGGCGGUGGUGGUCCCCGGCCAGGCCCAGCUGCAUCCCCCCGGGAGCCCACCCCCCGCCCCCUUGGCCGCAGCUGGAGCCCGGCCCCGCCCCCGCAGGCCUGCAGCUGGAGCCCGUGGGGAGCAGGGGCGGCGGCCAGAGGCGGCGGGCGCUGCCUGAUGGGGAGCAGCUGCGGCCCCGGUUCUCGCCCGGCCGAGCUGGCCGAUGCGGCCCCACCCAGGACCUGCGCCCCGGCCGCGCUCCCCUCACCCCCCACCCCCUGGGCGCCCCCCCGUGCCCAGCGGCUGCACCCUGCCCGACGGCGCCUUGGCACCCAGGGCCCCGCUUCCCCCGUGGGGCCACCGUCCUGCAUCUGCUGGGAUCCAGUCCGGGGCGCCCCUCGGGGCGCAGGUGGGGUCCGGUACCCGCACAGGCCGCGCCACAGCACAGCCGCCUCCCACGGCAGAGCCGGGGUCAGAACCCGCUCCCCGCGAGCCGACUGGUCCUCGCAGCCGGGCACGAACCCUUGGGGGGCCCUGGUAGGGCAGCUUCAUCCCAUCCGCAGAGCUGGGACCCCCUGGGCGCCCCGCCUGGGCUCGAGCCGCGUCUCGGGGGUCUUUGCCACGCCCGGCCAGGGGCCCGCGGCGACACACGUCCUUGCAGCCCUGCUGCUCACGGGCUCGUCCUCUGCCCCGUGGGGACCACGACAGUGCAAACGGGAAGGCGGCCGUGGAGAAGGUGGCCCAGGGCCGGCCGGCGCCUUCCCGCGGCCCCGAAGGCCCUCCGGGGACCCCACGGCCCUCGCAGGUGCUCGCUGCUGAGAAGUGACCGGCUGCCCACUUCCCUGCGCUUACUGGCAUCGGAGUUUCUUGCUGGGUUUCAGGGUCCGGCUGGGGCAGCCUCCGAGGUCCCACCUCCCACUCGUGCCAAUGAUCGUGUCCAUAUUUUAUUUUAUUUUAUUUUAUUUUUUAAUUUUUAUUUAUUUAUGAUAGUCACACAGAGAGAGAGAGAGGCAGAGACACAGGCAGCGGGAGAAGCAGGCUCCAUGCACCGGGAGCCCGACGUGGGACUCGAUCCCGGGUCUCCAGGAUCGCGCCCCAGGCCCAAGGCAGGCGCCAAACCGCUGUGCCACCCGGGGAUCCCCGUGUCCAUAUUUUAG
rnacentral:lncRNA from 1 species